AACGACAAAUAUCUAUACAAGGAACCGGGAAACUUCAUCAACAAAAAGGUCUUGUUCGAGAACGGCUUCAGUUUUUUUUUGAUAACCAACUUCUGUUAUGAUUUGGUAAAAAGGGUGUUUCUGGGAAUUCUACAUCUGUAUUCCUUUUAAUAGGCUCUACCUCUUCAGUACUCUCAUUUCAUCCUCUCUAUCAUGUCCACCUCUAGUCUUUCAAGUAAAGAAAGUGAUGUAUGGACAGUUCUAUUUCCCUCAAAGAAGAUUCGUUUCGAUUCUUCUGACAAUGAGAUGUGCUAUGACAAACAUGUAUCUUCUUCUGAUAAGAACCCUUCUGUAUCUCAGUUUGAUAAGCUCUCUCUAACCAUGAAUCUCGUUUUGGAACAAGUUCGUGCUCUGAAAAAUGAACUUGAAGUGUCUUCCAAAAAACUUGAGGAGAAAAUGGAUAGUCUUGAAUCAAGGAUUGACCUAAUCGAAGAUGAACUUGAAGAAUAUAGGGAAUACGAGAAGAAUAUUCAAGGUAAGUGAAUUGAUUGUUCAGAGGUAUAGAUACCUAGGAUGUAUUCUUUUUGGAUUAGUUGGAAGAAUAACUAGUGCUUUGAAUAGCGAUGAUUGUGACUACACAUAGCUA